rnacentral:tRNA from 1 species
GGUAAGGUGGCCGAAGCAGGUGCCGGGUUGUAGCCCCGGAAAUAAAGGUCAAGUCCUUUUCUUAUCA